rnacentral:rRNA from 1 species
GUGUCAGCAGCCGCGGUAAUACGGAGGUGGCAAGCGUUGUUCGGAAUUACUGGGCGUAAAGGGCGCGUAGGCGGCUUUACAAGUCAGAUGUGAAAUCCCCGGGCUUAACUCGGGAAUUGCAUCUGAAACUGUUUUGCUUGAGUCCUGGAGGGGGUAGUGGAAUUCCCAGUGUAGCGGUGAAAUGCGUAGAUAUUGGGAGGAACACCUGUGGCGAAGGCGGCUACCUGGACAGUGACUGACGCUGAUGCGCGAAAGCUAGGGGAGCAAACGGGAUUAGAAACCCCUGUAGUCC